rnacentral:rRNA from 1 species
UACGGGGGGGGGCAAGCGUUGUUCGGAAUUACUGGGCGUAAAGGGCUCGUAGGUGGCCAACUAAGUCAGACGUGAAAUCCCCAGGCUCAACUUGGGAACUGCGUCUGAUACUGGAUGGCUUGAAUUCGGGAGAGGGGAUGCAGAAUUCCAGGUGUAGCGGUGAAAUGCGUAGAUAUCUGGAGGAAUACCGGUGGCGAAGGCGGCAUCCUGGACCGAGAUUGACACUGAUGAGCGAAAGCUAGGGGAGCAAACGGG